rnacentral:rRNA from 1 species
AGGGCAAGUCUGGUGCCAGCAGCCGCGGUAAUUCCAGCUCCAAUAGCGUAUAUUAAAGUUGUUGCAGUUAAAAAGCUCGUAGUUGAAUUUCGGGAUCAAUCUAUCGGUCGUGCAAUAGUACGUACUGAUUUUAUUGAUUCCUCUCUUCUGAUGAACUAUGAUGUCAUUAAUUUGGUGUCAUAGGGAAUCAGGACUGUUACUUUGAAAAAAUUAGAGUGUUUAAAGCAGGCUCACGCUUGAAUACAUUAGCAUGGAAUAACGAAAUAGGACGUUUGAUUCUAUUUUGUUGGUUUCUAGGAUCGACGUAAUGAUUAAUAGGGAUAGUUGGGGGCAUUAGUAUUCAAUUGUCAGAGGUGAAAUUCUUGGAUUUAUUGAAGACUAACUACUGCGAAAGCAUUUGCCAAGGAUGUUUUCAUUAAUCAAGAACGAAAGUUAGGGGAUCGAAGACGAUCAGAUACCGUCGUAGUCUUAACCAUAAACUAUGCCGACUAGGGAUCGGAUGAUGUUAAUUUUUUAAUGACUCAUUCGGCGCCUUACGGGAA